rnacentral:rRNA from 1 species
AACGUAGGUGGCGAGCGUUAUCCGGAUUUACUGGGCGUAAAGCGUGUGCAGGUGGCCUGUUAAGUGGUGUAUGAAAUCGCCCGGCUCAACCGGGCGGGGUUAUGCCAGACUGGCAGGCUAGAGGGUGGGAGAGGGAUGUGGAAUUCCAGGUGUAGCGGUGAAAUGCGUAGAUAUCUGGAGGAAUACCGGUGGCGAAGGCGGCAUCCUGGACCAUAACUGACGCUGAGGCGCGAAAGCUAGGGGAGCAAACGGG